rnacentral:rRNA from 1 species
GACGAACGCUGGCGGCGUGCUUAACACAUGCAAGUCGAACGGUAAGGCCCUUCGGGGUACACGAGUGGCGAACGGGUGAGUAACACGUGGGUGAUCUGCCCUUCACUUCGGGAUAAGCCUGGGAAACUGGGUCUAAUACCGGAUAGGACCACUGCCUGCAUGGGUGGGGGGGGAAAGCUUUUGCGGUGUGGGAGGGGCCCGCGGCCUAUCGGCUUGUUGGUGGGGUGAAGGCCUACCAAGGCGACGACGGGUAGCCGGCCUGAGAGGGUGACCGGCCACACUGGGACUGAGAUACGGCCCAGACUCCUACGGGAGGCAGCAGUGGGGAAUAUUGCACAAUGGGCGCAAGCCUGAUGCAGCGACGCCGCGUGAGGGAUGACGGCCUUCGGGUUGUAAACCUCUUUCAGCACCGACGAAGCGCAAGUGACGGUAGGUGCAGAAGAAGGACCGGCCAACUACGUGCCAGCCGCCGCUGUAA